GACGAGUGGCGAACUGGGGAGUAACACGUGGGUCACCUGCCCUUGAAGUAGGGGAUAACACUUGGAAACAGGUGCUAAUACCGGAUAACAACCAAAACCACCUGGUUUUGGUUUAAAAGAUGGCUUCGGCUAUCACUUUAGGAUGGACCCGCGGCGUAUUAGCUUGUUGGUAAGGUAACGGCCUACCAAGGCAAUGAUACGUAGCCGACCUGAGAGGGUAAUCGGCCACAUUGGGACUGAGACACGGCCCAAACUCCUACGGGAGGCAGCAGUAGGGAAUCUUCCACAAUGGACGAAAGUCUGAUGGAGCAACGCCGCGUGAGUGAUGAAGGGUUUCGGCUCGUAAAACUCUGUUGUUGGAGAAGAACAGGUGUGAGAGUAACUGUUCACAUCUUGACGGUAUCCAACCAGAAAGCCACGGCUAACUACGUGCCAGCAGCCGCGGUAAUACGUAGGUGGCAAGCGUUGUCCGGAUUUAUUGGGCGUAAAGCGAGCGCAGGCGGUUUCUUAGGUCUGAUGUGAAAGCCUUCGGCUUAACCGGAGAAGUGCAUCGGAAACCAGGAGACUUGAGUGCAGAAGAGGACAGUGGAACUCCAUGUGUAGCGGUGAAAUGCGUAGAUAUAUGGAAGAACACCAGUGGCGAAGGCGGCUGUCUGGUCUGUAACUGACGCUGAGGCCCGAAAGCAUGGGUAGCGAACAGGAUUAGAUACCCUGGUAGUCCAUGCCGUAAACGAUGAGUGCUAAGUGUUGGAGGGUUUCCGCCCUUCAGUACUGCAGCUAACG
rnacentral:rRNA from 1 species